UACGUAGGGCGCAAGCGUUGUCCCGGAAUUAUUGGGCGUAAAGAGCUCGUAGGCGGCUUGUCACGUCGGAUGUGAAAGCCCCGAGGCUUAACCUCGGGUCUGCAUUCGAUACGGGCUAGCUAGAGUGUGGUAGGGAGGAUCGGAAUUCCUGGUGGUAGCGGUGAAAUGCGCAGAUAUCAGGAGGAACACCGGUGGCGAAGGCGGAC
rnacentral:rRNA from 1 species